rnacentral:misc_RNA from 1 species
CACCACCCACGAGCUACUAACGACGCCAUUCGUCUAUUGGUGGCCGGGACGAGUUGCUGCCGACACACAUAUCUACGCAUAUGUUGUGUGCCCAUUAUAAGAGCUCGACCUGCGUUGAGCAAAAGCAAAGCUAGCAGCUCCCUAUACAUUAUUAUUAUUAUUUCUUUUUGCUUUAAAUUUUUAUUUAUUUGUGUUUUCGUUUGUUUUUACCUUCAAGGGAACCCGCGCAGCACGGGCGCACCGGUGUGUCUAAUACAGUGUGUGUGUGUGUGUGUGUGUGUGUGUGUGUGUACUAUAUACGAAGAAGAGGCAGCUACCAGCAGUAAGUGGUAUUACGCGAGAUGGGCUGCGCUGACAGUAAAAGCGCCGGACUAGCCAAUUCUAUCACUACCGUCUCCGCGGCCAACACCAACGGCCAACUACAUCAGCAUCCAUCCAACUUGCAGACGAGCGAAGAUUCAGCUGCUGGCCAUUGUUCUUUAGCUGAAGAAGAAGACGCUGCUGUCAAGAUCCAGGCAUUUUACAGGGGCUAUCAAACCCGUCGUGAUUUAGCCGAUAAGAAAGAAAGGGAACUCUACGGUCCGGGUGGAAAACCGGGCAAGAAGAAAAAAGGAACUUAUCCCAAGCCUCUUGCACCACAACCGCCUCAGCAGCAACAGCCACCUCAAACUCAUCCAGCAGUUGUAGAUUUAGCGCAGCACCAACCGACAGCUUUGACGUAAAGUAUCAAUUGCCAACGAAAAGAACGAAAUGGAUUUGGACGCAAUGGAUCCCGCUGAACUCGAGCAAGAUUUGGACUUGAUGAACGCAGCCACUAAGAUUCAGGCUUCCUUCCGGGGUCACAUGGCGAGGAAACAAGCGGAGAAGAGCAAAACCGAUGGUGAAA